GAUCAGAUGAAGAAAAAAAUAACUGCAACAAAAUGAGAUCUAAUGAUCACUGUUAUUUAAGUCUCUGAUGAUC